UUUGUUAUCUGGGACUUGAAAUGAGCAUGACUUGCCUUUAAAUAAUGAUUUACACUUUGGGUUUAUGGAGGGAUAAUAUUUAUAUCAGACUGAUACAGGCAGGCAGUGCGGUACCUGAGGUAGUACAUUCCAUGUGUGAUCAUGACCCACUUCUCUGCAAGCCGAACAGAAAUAAGUCAUCUGCACUUCAGAUGAAUAUCUAAAAUGAGUUGGGUGAAUUUGAUGACAUUUCUUACAACGAGUUUCAUAAUUGUCUCUUGCUCUGUCUAUAUGAACGAUGGUACCCCCGAGGACACGGAUGCCUUGUCUAUAACGAAGACUGGGUUUUGCUCUGCAGAGUUGGAAACCUAUGGAGAAAUUAACCUCAAACCACUGACCAGAAGCGACGGACUUCCAAAUUUUUAUUCCACUCUAACUUCCCAUGGAGAGUCGUACAAUUAUACAUUUAAUCCCUGUCAGCCAUUUAACGAGCCAAUAAACCCUCAUCAGGAUGACGGGAAACGAUUUGGGGAUGGAUGUAACUAUGUCACGUUAUGUAAAUUUACGCAUGAAGCUAAGCGGUACUUCUACUACCCCUAUGGUAUCCAGAAUGAACAAAGCCCGGAGUUUUCUCUGGAAGUGGACAAAAAUUCCCAGACACCCACCGUCAUGAUGACGUAUACUGGGUCUAGGUCAAUGUCAACAAAGAAAAGUCGUAUUUACCUCAAAUGUAACCGGAGCCUCCACGACCCAGAGGAGGCACGCUUCAUUCUGCUUGUCGACAACCCCAGAGUUGGAGUGGAAGCUGAACUUCACCACGUAUGCGCAUGUCCAGGGGGAUGUAAAGGUGGAAAUCUACCGGAAGCUGGAUCACGUGAAAUAAAUGGGGAAGUAGCCGAUUCCAAAGACAGUAGCGGCCACGGUACAAAGAUCAUUUUGAUUCUUGGCGUAAACAUUGGGAUUCUGGUGUUAGCGGGAUGUGUAGGAGUCACUUGUUACAGCAAACGAGCCAACCUCCAACUUUACAACAAAAUCCCAGUCAGAGCCGCAGCUAGUCACGUGGUUACUAUGGACAACACUGAGGCUCUACUGGACCCUGGGGUCAGUAGCCGUCCUUUACCGGUAGUUUCACCACCGAAAGACCCCCGGGCCUCCGCCUAUAAGGACUACGAACCCGAUGCUUACAAAAACAGGGACAAAAAGAUAAAUAUACCUGUGCUAGACAAUUGUCUCAUUUCUAAUGAGUCCUUACAGCUUUCUCAACGACUCGGCGGAGGAAUAUACAGUGACACCAAUGUUGCCGUCAAAGACAUCGGUAUAUAGUGUCAAUGCUGGGUAUAUGUGUAGACAACAGACUUCCUUACAUUGUGUCCGAGUUCGUGGACGGACAGAGUGUCAAGUAUUACAUCAACAACAGCACGGAAUCCCUCACGUGGCCACAGAGGGUCAAAAUAUGUAUGCAGGCUGCUGAUGGCAUGGCGUACUUACAUUCAUCGAAACCACCCACCCUACACAGAGAUCUGAGAUGUGCCAAUAUCUUUAUUAGUAAUAAUGACGUUGUAAAGGUUGCAGAUUUUGGUUUAGUGAAGCUAAUACAGCCACUGAGAAUGCUUUGUGAUCACGAAGAGUGUUGCUGUCAAGGUCAAUUCAGUGGCUGUCCAUCUUCCCUGCGUUGGACCGCCCCUGAGGUCAUACAGAAUCCGCGGAGUCUUGAGAAAGACCCCGACUCCCCCCACACGAUAUAUUCCGACGUGUACUCUUUCGGGAUGUGUAUGUGGGAGCUGGCUGUGUGCGAGGACCCAUUCGGUGACAUCACAGAACAAGAGGUGAUGGAAAAAGUAAGACAGGGGACGCGCCCGAGCUCUGUCCCCAGUGAGUCCUCCAAGGAGAUCAUGCCGCAGUACCGAGCCCUAAUGCACACCUGUUGGAAUGCCAACCCAGACAAUCGACCUAAAUUCACACAGGUGGCCACAAGAUUGAAAGAAAUCCUGUCCCCAGCCAGAACUUACCAAAAGAGCGUUAUAACUAAGAAAAAACAAUCCUCAAGUUGAAGUCGUGAUUUGUUAACGUUAUAUUUUGCUACAAUUUUAACAAAUUGUACGUUUACUAUUGAAAAGAAAUCUGAUGACGUGUUCUUAGUAUUUGAGACAACGGGAGGAAUCAGAAUUUGGGAUAUCGAUGUUCAAAUGUACAAGUACACGUAAAAGUGCCAAAAUAAAUUCAAUAAAUCAAAUGGAGGAGAGAUACUACUACUAAAUACAGUAUAUAAGAUGUUUUUGUUGACAAAUUGUGUCAUUUGUAAAUCACCUAGGUCAUUCAUAUUGUUCACAUUGUUUAUACAACACAUCCAUCUUUUAUUCUCUUGUUAUAGGGCCUAUUUUCAGGUUAUAUUUUUCAUUUUUAUCGCUUAAAAUUUGCCAUUAUUGUUUAUUGAUGUUUUUUUUAAAUUUGUAUAUGUUUUAAAACAUUACAUGUCACUCAUUGAAGUAUGAAUUUGUUUAAAUAAAACGUAAUGAA
rnacentral:misc_RNA from 1 species